GCGGAUGUAGCCAAGUGGAUCAAGGCAGUGGAUUU
rnacentral:tRNA from 48 species